AAUCCAUGCAUCUGACAUUUCUGAAUUAAAUCUUUGAAUUGUUCCCAAGCUUCAUAUAGUUUUUCAUCUUCCAAUUGCCGAAAAGAUGUGAUGUCAUUUCUCAGCUU
rnacentral:snoRNA from 1 species